GGAUCCAGUUGAGACUUUGUUGCGGGCCUCCUCUUCCUCCUCUGCCGUCUCGCCGCCCGGCCCGCCGAUUAGCCUGCGACGGCGCUGUGCUGCGUCGAGGCGACGGGUCAAACUCGCCGUCGAACCCCGCCCCCCGUGCCCGCGACCGCACCCUAGCCUUCGCCCCUUCUCCGGCCUCCGGCGUUCCCCUUCCCUCUCGGCGCGAAGGGAGAGAGGGUUCACAGUCGUCGGCCGCUCGCUCCUCGCCUGUACCCAUCGCGCGUGGAGAGGAGAGCCGGUGGGGGGAUUCGUGAGCGGGCACGCACUGGGGCGAGGACUUCGGACCUGCCAGCAUCCAGCAACGGAGGACGGGAGAAAUCCUCUUGCUCUCCCAGUUCGACUGUUCCCCGCGGUUGCCGGCGACCGGCGCCUUCAGCUGUCCGCGAGUUGAGUGCCCGCCACCUGCUCGACGGAAUGCUUGAGAUGGCUGCUGCGAGUGACAGAGACCCUUUUGGAGACCUCCCCGACGAGCUCUUAUGGCGUGUGCUGUCCUUCCUGCCGGGGGACGAUGCCCUGCAGACCUGCGUGCUGGACACCCGCUGGCGCGACCUCUGGAGGCACGCGACCAGCCUGCUAUUUGUCUUCGACGGGCCAACAUUCCCGCGAUACAAGCGUUUCGAGCAGUUGGUGAAGCUGGUCACCCAUCUCCGUGGGAACUCGCCUCUCGUCAGGUGUGAGAUCGAUGCCUAUCCCGACGAUGAGCCGGAGGACACGUUCUCAAAUACCAAGCUGUUGAUUGACAUGCAAGGCUGAGGAGCUCGUUGUAAGGGCUGCUGAUGUUCUGUAUGACCAACCAGUGUUCGAUGUGCCUCUCAGUCUCAUCUCCCAACACCUCAGGACCAUACACCUUGAACGGGUGAACCUCGACUGCUCUGACCUGAAGUUCUCUGGCUGCCCAGUCUUACAGGAUCUAACAAUUCAAUUCUGCAAUAUUCAUGCACGCAAGAUGUCAUCCAAAUCACUAAAGCGCCUAUUCAUCAUCGACUGUUGUUCUUUACCUGACAUCGUGCGCCUUCGGAUUUGUGCCCCGAGUCUCAUCUCACUGCAGCUAGAGGAUUUUGAAGGCUUGACACCUUUUCUUGAAAACAUGCCAUUGCUAGAAACUGCCCAUGUUACAUUGAUGGUGGAUGCCAUGAUCAUUGUCGCAGUAAUCGGGGGGUUUGUGAUAAUUUUGUCUGUGGUUGUCAUACAUAUCCUGUCAAGGAGGGGGUGCUUCUCAAUGGUUUGUCCAAUGCUGCCAAGUUGGACUUGAUAGCUCUACCUAAAAUGUUUCUCUACAGAUGGGAUUUGAAAUGGUGCCCUGUCUUUGGCAAAUUAAAGACUCUGUUAAUCAAUAAAUGUUUUACGGCUAUUGACUUAGUUUGCAUUCUUCAACACUCUCCAGUUCUUGAGAUGCUCACUCUUCGGUUCGAUAAUACUGAGGUAUAUGCUGUAUAGAUAACAAUGGUGCUGUUUUAUUUGAGGUGUUGUCAUGGAUGCUGAAUUUGUCUUACUAAGUGCUCUUAUCUGAUAGAACAUUGCAGGAGCAACAGGAGCCCAGGAAACAAUAGAACAACCACUUACGUGUGCAUGCCUUAAGUUUGUUUACAUUGAAUGUGAAAAGGUUGAUGAGGGGGUUCGUGAAAUUUUGAAUAUGUUGGGUAGAUUCGGCAUACUUCCAAAUUAGCAUCAAGCAGGAUCCACGUCCGGACUCAGAUUAUAAGUUACCCUUCCUACCUAUUCUAACAUGUCUGAUAUAAUAAUAAGGAUCUAUGACACCACCUCCAAAUCCAUCCAGAUUUCGUAUCCAUUAUCCUUUUGUAUUAAUUGGAUUUGAAUGCUGAUGGAGUUUAGAAUGGCUAUUAUAUUUCAACACAGUUUAUUAUUCUGUAAUUGCUGAUGACACUACAAUAGUUAGCACAAAUUUCUGAUGUGUCUAGAUCUGUAACAGCCAUGCAAACUAUUUUUAUUAUUCUCUUUUUUUUCAGUUCAGUAAAUUAUCUAAUCCUUUUACUGUUUAGUUGGUGAUGAAAAUAGUAGCUGUUCUCAUCUUGAAAUUCAGUUUAGGUAUCUCAUAAUUUAUUUGGUAGAAUACAUAUCACUAAGAAUGAUAAUGGGUAGAAUGUACUACCUCCGUUCUUAAAUAUAAGUCUUUUUAGAGAUUUCGCUACGGACUACAUAUAGAGUAAAAAAGAUGAAUCUACACUCUAAAUAUAUCCAUAUACAUCCGUGUGUAGUUUGUACUGAAAUCCUAGAAAGACUUAUAUUUAGGAACAGAGGGAGUACAAUAUAGUGCUCGCAUCCAUCCAGCAAAGACUGCCUUUGCCUUUCUGUAUUUACUGUUAUCCUCCAAGCCUGUUGUCAGUUUGAUUAACAUUGACUGGUACCCAAAUUGCCUGCGUUCUACACUUGUUUCAAGGCUCAAGCAGUUUCAAUGCCUCUCGGAAAGGUUUUAUUUGUGUUAGUGUUGCCCUUGGAAGGCUAAUAAACUCCUGUUAGCAAGUACAGAAAUUUGGUUGGGUUGCAGUAUAGUUCCUCUACAUCAAAGUGCUAUCGAGGAUAUUUGAAAUUCCCGUCUAUAUUUGUGACUUGUCUUGACUGUGCAGAUUCAUCCACUGAUAGCGACUCCACUGAUAGUGACUAAGAUGAGUGGUCGGUCAUGAUGUUCGGCUGAAGACUUCUGUUUAUCUAAAGAAUCUGCAAUGGUGGCCAUGUGUUGGCCGUUAGCCUGUGACUGUGAAGUUCUGUUUUUGCUUCCCAUCUUUGGCCUCUGCCGGAAAUCUGUCUUUAUGGUUUUUUGGUGCAACUUAGCAAGAUGUUUUCCGCUUUGUCAGGAAUCUGCCAGGAAUCUAAAUGAUGGUUAGAACGUUGCUAUGUUUCUAUAAUUUGCCGGGAAUCUAAAUGAUGGUUACAUACAUAUUCUGUAGAUCAUCCUGGAAUUUUACAUGCAUCUCUUAUAUCCCUGUGCAUCAUCAGUAA